rnacentral:rRNA from 1 species
UCGGGAAUUUUGGGCAAUGGGCGCAAGCCUGAUCCAGCCAUGCCGCGUGAGUGAUGAAGGCCCUAGGGUUGUAAAACUCUUUCGUGGGGACGAUAAUGACGGUACCCCAAGAAGAAGCUCCGGCUAACUUCGUGCCAGCAGCCGCGGUAAUACGAAGGGGGCUAGCGUUGUUCGGAUUUACUGGGCGUAAAGCGCGUGUAGGCGGGCUGGAAAGCUGGGGGUGAAAUCCCGAGGCUCAACCUCGGAACUGCCUCCAAAACUUCCAGCCUGGACUCAAGUAGAGGCAAGUGGAAUUGCGAGUGUAGAGGUGAAAUUCGUAGAUAUUCGCAGGAACACCAGUGGCGAAGGCGACUUGCUGGACUUGUAGUGACGCUGAGACGCGAAAGCGUGGGGAGCAAACAGGAUUAGAUACCCUAGUAGUCCCUGAGCGGGCUGGCAAGGCGCAU